GACAAAUCAACCCCACUGUCAGACUGUAUGUGGUCACUCUGGACGGCAGCUCCCUGACUACUGAGCUUAGACCUCCUGACUGCUUUGAAAAGAGUGAGUACUACGUCACCAUGGUGAAGUGGGUGAGGCCGGACAGGCUGAGUGUGCGCUGGGUGAACCGGGCUCAGAACAUGUCCAUACUGUCCCUGUGUGAUGCCACAACGGGGGACUGCACCAAGAAACACGUGAUGACUUCAGAGAAGUGGCUCGAUCAUCAGGUGAGUGUUCAGA